rnacentral:lncRNA from 1 species
UCAUUUUUGAGACAGAGAGAGACCCGAGCAUGAACAGGGGAGGGGCAGAGAGAGGGGGAGACACAGAAUCUGAAGCAGGCUCCAGGCUCUGAGCUGUCAGCACAGAGCCCGACGUGGGGCUUGAACUCACGGACUGUGAGAUCGUGACCUGAGCGGAAGUCAGACACUUAACCCACCGAGCCACCCAGGUGCCCCUAAGCAGCCUGCUUUGUAAACAUAAAUUUGCUUCAUGGGUCUAUUGUUCUUUUUAACAGUCCUCAACCCAUCACCCACCCUCAAAUGUUUAUUUGAUUUUUUUUUUUCCCCACAGAAUCUGAUACAAAUUCUUGACACAAUGGAGGUGAUGAAUAAAUAUACUUGCCUGAGUGACUGUGUGGGUGGCAUGCAGCCUCACUAUAGAUCUGACAGUCUCUGCAGAGCAGUCCCAGAAAGCAGCAUAAAAAGAUUCCUAAACUCACCUCCUCCUGUGGACAGCAAUAUAAAGCAUAUUUUUCCUGAGGAGGAACUGAAGGCUGAUUAAACAGCUUCUGCACAACAAAUGAUAGCAGAAUCACAUAGAGAAGAGAUGAAGCCAUAGUAACUACAAAACACCUAUGCUAGACACAGCGACAUACAGAAGGGAAGAGUAUCAUCAAGGAGUCUGUGCACAGAUUUGCCCACCCUAAGGCACAGUAAAAACAACAACAAUGGUUUAAAGGACAACUGGACUGUGAAAGUUUUGAGAAGAUGGUGGAAUAGGAGAAUCCUGAGCUCGGGUCCUCUCAUAGAAGUAUCAAGAUAAGAGCUACAUCUGUGAGACUAACUCUGAAACGACCUCAAGACUGGCAGAACAGACCUUCCAUAGCCAACUGUGGAUAGAAGGCCACCUCAAAACGGGUAAGAGGGGCGGAGACAGAGUUGGGAACCAUAACCCUGGGUAGGACUAACCUCAAACAGAAGGGACAUUACAAGCUCAGAAGAGGGAGAAAAUCAGACUCCUAUCAGACACUGGGGACCUGCACUGGAAGGACCAGUUUCUAUAACAUUUGGCUUUGAAAACCAGCACAGUUAAAACUCUAGGAGAGCAGGAGGGUGAUAUGAAAAUGAGCUCCUGCACAUGAAAAUCCAGCAACUAAAUAACUCAGCCCGAGACACAGCACAGGAAGAGGAGUUUGAAAGAUCCUGGGCUAUACAUGAAUGAGAU